CCCCUCAGGCGUUCGCCGCGCCCGCACGUGACCCGGCGGCGGCGCCACGUGAGCGGCGCCACGUGACCCGGCGCCAUGGCCGCCAGCCGCUACCGGCGCUUCCUGCGGCUCUGCGAGGAAUGGCCGGUGGAGGAGACCCGGCAGCAGCGCGACCUGGGCUCGUUCCUGCGGCAGCGGGUGGCGCAGGCCUUCCGCGAGGGCGAGAACACGCCGAUCCCUGACCCCGAGGCCUGUGACCAAAUGUACGAGAGCUUGGUCAGGAUCCACACCAACUUCUACAAAAACAAGGUGAGAGCUGAGGCACUGCCUCUGUCCCUCUCUUUUGGGGGGGAGCCACCACCUGCUGCAGCAUUCCCGGGAGUGGCAGCAUGCCUGGGGAUGCCUGAGGGACAGCUGAGGGGUGGAUGCAGCCGUGCCUGUGGUCACCCAGGGCAGCUGCUGGCCUGGUUCUUGGUGUGGGUGAACAGAAUCCCAGCUGGAAACGCUCUCAGACUGUCCCAGCUGGUGACACUUGUCCCUUUCUCAUGCACUACAAGUGACUUCUUUGUCUCUCUCCCUCCUUUUCCUGCUCUCCUGGGAAGUACCCACGCCUGAGAGAAACCACCUUCACCGGGGUGACAGUGGAGGAUUGCAGGACGAUCCUGGCCACAGACAUUCUGAAACAGAUGGAAGACAGGAAAAAAGGGACGUGGAAAAGACUGCGGGAAAAGUUCUCUGCCAAGAAACCCGAGGAUGACUUGAAGUGAGGGCCCAGCUCUCAGCUUCUCCACUGUACAUAUCCCUGAAGCUCUGUGUGUUGCCAUGAUGAAUAAAACCACUUAUUCCUCUUAGCAA